CCGUCGUGUAUUAGCUAGCAUCAAUUCAACUGUACGAUUGUAACCAUUUGAUUAACGUGUUGGCAUUAUAUUGUAAAACCAAGGGCGACUUCAUUUUGGUGGGUGAUUUGAUGCGAUCUGUCACGCUGGAGGUAAUUUUGAGGAGAUCGCUCGCGACUAUUAACCAAAUUGGAUGACAGUGAUUUCCUCGGGCGGAUAACAGAACAAUCUAUUUGUUUGCCUAAAAGAUGGCCGCAGCAACGGACGACGAACGAUAGCAAGUACCAAAGGUUGCUCAAUGCGAUCUCGGUGAUAUGGUCAAUGUAUUCCGCCACGGUUCGCUCGUGAUGCAAAACUUUGGUGAGCAAACGACGGCGACAACGGGUUGUGUGCUAUUUGGCAUAGUCAGCGAUGCAAUUGGGAAAUUUUACUGACACAAUCAAAUCUGUUGAAAAUUGCAGAUCGACGUGGAUGGAACUAAGAAGGAAGCGGCCGUACAUGAUAUAAUCAAGAUUAUAGAAGACCUAACAUGGA